rnacentral:rRNA from 1 species
GCUUGCUAUUUUUAUGAAGAGCGGCGAACGGGUGAGUAACGCGUGGGAAAUCUGCCGAGUAGCGGGGGACAACGUUUGGAAACGAACGCUAAUACCGCAUAACAAUGAGAAUCGCAUGAUUCUUAUUUAAAAGAAGCAAUUGCUUCACUACUUGAUGAUCCCGCGUUGUAUUAGCUAGUUGGUAGUGUAAAGGACUACCAAGGCGAUGAUACAUAGCCGACCUGAGAGGGUGAUCGGCCACACUGGGACUGAGACACGGCCCAGACUCCUACGGGAGGCAGCAGUAGGGAAUCUUCGGCAAUGGGGGCAACCCUGACCGAGCAACGCCGCGUGAGUGAAGAAGGUUUUCGGAUCGUAAAACUCUGUUGUUAGAGAAGAACGUUAAGUAGAGUGGAAAAUUACUUAAGUGACGGUAUCUAACCAGAAAGGGACGGCUAACUACGUGCCAGCAGCCGCGGUAAUACGUAGGUCCCAAGCGUUGUCCGGAUUUAUUGGGCGUAAAGCGAGCGCAGGUGGUUUCUUAAGUCUGAUGUAAAAGGCAGUGGCUCAACCAUUGUGUGCAUUGGAAACUGGGAGACUUGAGUGCAGGAGAGGAGAGUGGAAUUCCAUG